UACAGAGGGUGCAAGCGUUAAUCGGAAUUACUGGGCGUAAAGCGUGCGUAGUCGGUUAUUUAAGUCAGGUGUGAAAUCCCCGGGCUCAACCUGGGAAUUGCAUUUGAGACUGGAUAGCUAGAGUUCGGCAGAGGGAAGUGGAAUUUCAGGUGUAGCGGUGAAAUGCGUAGAUAUCUGAAGGAACAUCAGUGGCGAAAGCGACUUCCUGGACCAGAACUGACGAUCAGGCACGAAAGCGUGGGGAGCAAAC
rnacentral:rRNA from 1 species